rnacentral:rRNA from 1 species
AGUGAACGCUGGCGGCAGGCCUAACACAUGCAAGUCGAGCGGCAGCGCGGGGGGCAACCCUGGCGGCGAGCGGCGGACGGGUGAGGAAUGCAUCGGAAUCUACCUCGUUGUGGGGGAUAACGUAGGGAAACUUACGCUAAUACCGCAUACGACCUACGGGUGAAAGUGGGGGACCUUCGGGCCUCACGCGAUGAGAUGAGCCGAUGCCGGAUUAGCUAGUUGGCGGGGUAAAGGCCCACCAAGGCGACGAUCCGUAGCUGGUCUGAGAGGAUGAUCAGCCACACUGGAACUGAGACACGGUCCAGACUCCUACGGGAGGCAGCAGUGGGGAAUAUUGGACAAUGGGCGCAAGCCUGAUCCAGCCAUGCCGCGUGUGUGAAGAAGGCC